UAGGGGAAUCAGGGCUCGGACCCCCUCCCCGAGCCUAGGGUAACCCUGAUGGUAGAGGGGAC
rfam:Mus musculus chromosome 7, GRC primary reference assembly.